rnacentral:lncRNA from 1 species
AUGCCUGUUGAAGCAGAUGUAUCAGUGUGGAGAGCCUUGCUCAAUGCUUGUCAACUUCAUUCUGCCACGAAGUUAGCUGGAGCCAUAUAUAUGCUGCAGCAGAUCUAUGGAUGGAGGUCAGGCAGAUAAGAACACGGCUCAGGGAAAAGGGUUUAGAAAAGCCUCCUGGAGUAAGUUGAAUUGUUGUUAAAAGCCAGGUCCAUUGUUUCGUUGCCGGAGACAGAUCACACCUUCAAUCAGACAUAAUUUAUGCAAGUUUAAAUUCUCUGUUAACCUUGAUAAAAGAAAGUGGAUACAUUCCUGAUCUUCGAUUGGUUUUGCGUGACGAAGAGGGUUAG